UCUCCGUGGCAGACGUGUAAGGAUUCAAAAAAAAAAUGAAAAUUGCCCACUUCCUCCAUAAUUUCUCAUGUCGUACCUUCAAAACCCUUCCAACCAACUUCUCUUUCUCUUUCCCGUCUCAUACCUUAAUUUUUACUGAAAACUCUCAGAAAUUGAGUUGAUCGUGGGUUAUUCAACGAUUCGCCCACUCCACUACAAGGCUGUUACAAACUUCGAGGGACAAGUCAAGUCAAUCUCACAAUUAGGAUAGAACACCGGUUAAGCCCAACCAAUCCAGAAUACUAUGGAUGUGUAGUACUUCCCUACACACGACCCACACGUGCGAAUGUGGAUCCCCAGGCGGCUCGCACACCCCUUGGACUCUCUCU